AUUGAACGCUGGCGGCAUGCCUUACACAUGCAAGUCGAACGGUAACGGGCCUUCGGGUGCCGACGAGUGGCGAACGGGUGAGUAAUACAUCGGAACGUGCCCGAUCGUGGGGGAUAACGAGGCGAAAGCUUUGCUAGUACCGCAUACGAUCUACGGAUGAAAGCAGGGGACCGCAAGGCCUUGCGCGGACGGAGCGGCCGAUGGCAGAUUAGGUAGUUGGUGGGAUAAAAGCUUACCAAGCCGACGAUCUGUAGCUGGUCUGAGAGGAUGAUCAGCCACACUGGGACUGAGACACGGCCCAGACUCCUACGGGAGGCAGCAGUGGGGAAUUUUGGACAAUGGGCGCAAGCCUGAUCCAGCCAUGCCGCGUGCAGGAUGAAGGCCUUCGGGUUGUAAACUGCUUUUGUACGGAACGAAAAGCCUUCUUUUAAUACAGGAGGGUCAUGACGGUACCGUAAGAAUAAGCACCGGCUAACUACGU
rnacentral:rRNA from 1 species